GCCUGGGUGGUUCAGUUGGUAGAGUGUGUGACUCUUAAUCUCAGAGUUGUGAGUUCAAGCCCCAUGUUGGGUA
rnacentral:tRNA from 1 species